rnacentral:rRNA from 1 species
CGUAAAGAACUUGCCUCACAGAUAGGGACAACAUUUGGAAACGAAUGCUAAUACCUGAUAUUAUGAUUUUAGGGCAUCCUAGAAUUAUGAAAGCUAUAUGCGCUGUGAGAGAGCUUUGCGUCCCAUUAGCUAGUUGGAGAGGUAACAGCUCACCAAGGCGAUGAUGGGUAGCCGGCCUGAGAGGGUGAUCGGCCACAAGGGGACUGAGACACGGCCCUU